UUCAAUGUAAGGCUAUGGCCUCAUUUCUUAGUCUUUAGAUUUACCUAGUACAUUUAUAACUACCUUAUACUCUCCAAUAUAUAUCGGGUUGUGGUUUCUUUGUACUGUUUCUUUACUUUCAUACACAGUUUAUACUGUCGUUCCAUGUGUUGAGUACUCGUGAUGGCGAUCAAUCCAGAAAAAGUCCACACCUUCUAUACCGAGUAAGGAGAACGUCAAAUUUAAUCAAUUGCCGUUACACACUCAGAGUUUCGUACACGUAGGUGGCAACGUAUCGAUAGUACUGGGAACCUCCAUCUUUUUUUGAUCUAAUCUACACUGAAUCAAUUCAGAGCAGACCUACCCUCGAUCGAUGUGCAUUCAAAACAAUAACAAUGUUAUUUAAUCAAUUGUUGUGUAAGAAGUUAUGUAUCAUUAAUUCGAAUUGUUGGAGGGAUUUAUCAUCUGGCAUUAAAUGAAGUACGUAAGAGAACGAAA
rnacentral:rRNA from 1 species